UGAAAUCUCACGGCUUAACUGUGAGCGUGCGGGCGAUACGGGCAGACUUGAGUACUGCAGGGGAGACUGGAAUUCCUGGUGUAGCGGUGGAAUGCGCAGAUAUCAGGAGGAACACCGGUGGCGAAGGCGGGUCUCUGGGCAGUAACUGACGCUGAGGAGCGAAAGCGUGGGGAGCGAACAGGAUUAGAUACCCUGGUAGUCCACGCCGUAAACGGUGGGUACUAGGUGUGGGUUUCCUUCCUUGGGAUCCGUGCCGUAGCUAACGCAUUAAGUACCCCGCCUGGGGAGUACGGCCGCAAGGCUAAAACUCAAAGAAAUUGACGGGGGCCCGCACAAGCGGCGGAGCAUGUGGAUUAAUUUCGAUAGCAACUGCUGAAGUAACCUUUACCCUGGGUCUUGACAUGCACAGGACGCCGGCAGAGAUGUCGGUUCCCUUGUGGCCUGUGUGCAGGUGGUGCAUGGCUGUCGUCAGCUCGUGUCGUGAGAUGUUGGGUUAAGUCCCGCAACGAGCGCAACCCUUGUCUCAUGUUGCCAGCGGGUAAUGCCGGGGACUCGUGAGAGACUGCCGGGGUCAACUCGGAGGAAGGUGGGGAUGACGUCAAGUCAUCAUGCCCCUUAUGUCCAGGGCUUCACACAUGCUACAAUGGCCGGUACAAAGGGCUGCGAUGCCGCGAGGUUAAGCGAAUCCUUUUAAAGCCGGUCUCAGUUCGGAUCGGGGUCUGCAACUCGACCCCGUGAAGUCGGAGUCACUAGUAAUCGCAGAU
rnacentral:rRNA from 1 species